rnacentral:rRNA from 1 species
AGUGAACGCUGGCGGUAGGCCUAACACAUGCAAGUCGAACGGCAGCACAGUAAGAGCUUGCUCUUACGGGUGGCGAGUGGCGGACGGGUGAGGAAUACAUCGGAAUCUACUUUUUCGUGGGGGAUAACGUGGGGAAACUUACGCUAAUACCGCAUACGACCUACGGGUGAAAGCAGGGGAUCUUCGGACCUUGCGCGAUUGAAUGAGCCGAUGUCGGAUUAGCUAGUUGGCGGGGUAAAGGCCCACCAAGGCGACGAUCCGUAGCUGGUCUGAGAGGAUGAUCAGCCACACUGGAACUGAGACACGGUCCAGACUCCUACGGGAGGCAGCAGUGGGGAAUAUUGGACAAUGGGCGCAAGCCUGAUCCAGCCAUACCGCGUGGGUGAAGAAGGCCUUCGGGUUGUAAAGCCCUUUUGUUGGGAAAGAAAAGCAGCAGGUUAAUACCCCGCUGUUCUGACGGUACCCAAAGAAUAAGUACCGGCUAACUUCGUG